AAAAGUCAACAAGACGCAUUUCAACUACCCUAAUAGGAACUGUGACGACGCCUCGGCAGACUACAGAGCAAACGAAUGGGACCCAGAAAUUGGAUGCUAUUUAGGAGAAUUGACGAGCGAGGUACCAGCGAAUGAAUACAUCACUGAAUUUAUAAGCACGGGUCCAAAAGUUAUGGUUAUAAGCUAUCCAACGGUGAAACCUGUCUAAAAGUUAAAGGUAUAACAUUAAAUGUUAAGAACUGUGAAAAGGUUAAUUUUCAAAGCUUAAAAGAACUGCUAUUUGACUAUGCAGAAAAUAAAAAACUGUCUUCAGAACAUAAAAAUAUCAAAGUUGAAGAUUUUGGUAUUGUCCGGGUAAAACGCAGCUGGCAUAUAGAAACCAGAAAAA